rnacentral:lncRNA from 1 species
UGUAAUAUACAACCAGAAACCAUUAUACACUUAUUGUGGGAAUGUGAAGAAGUACAAAUUUUGUUAGAAAAUUUUGAUACAUGGACUUCAUCUACAGCACACAUAACACUUAACUAUAAUUGUAAGACUUUUGUAUUUGGUAUUUUUGAUGUUAGAAACUGUAUUGUACAAAAUAAGAUAUUGCUCUGUAUUAAAUAUUAUAUUUAUUCAAGUCGAUGUUUGAAAAAAGUUCUAUCACUUCAGG